rnacentral:rRNA from 1 species
AGUUUGAUCAUGGCUCAGAACGAACGCUGGCGGCAGGCUUAACACAUGCAAGUCGAACGGGUGUAGCAAUACAUCAGUGGCAGACGGGUGAGUAACACGUGGGAACCUUCCUAGAGGUACGGAACAACUCAGGGAAACUUGAGCUAAUACCGUAUACGCUCUUGCGAGGAAAGAUUUAUCGCCUUUAGACGGGCCCGCGUCGGAUUAGCUAGUUGUGGGGUAACGGCCUACCAAGGCGACGAUCCGUAGCUGAUCUGAGAGGAUGAUCAGCCACACUGGGACUGAGACACGGCCCAGACUCCUACGGGAGGCAGCAGUGGGGAAUCUUGGACAAUGGGCGCAAGCCUGAUCCAGCCAUGCCGCGUGAGUGAAGAAGGCCUUCGGGUUGUAAAGCUCUUUUGCCAGGGACGAUAAUGACGGUACCUGGAGAAUAAGCCCCGGCAAACUUCGUG